CAGAGUAGAAUUUUGUGCGUAAAGUGUCCUUUGAACGGGGAGUUGUCAAGGGAACGAAAGGCGUAGCCUGCGGUACAAAAUUUGCAUCCCGCUGU
rnacentral:ncRNA from 1 species